rnacentral:rRNA from 1 species
GACGAAGGAUGCAAGCGUUAUCCGGAAUUAUUGGGCGUAAAGAGCUCGUAGGCGGUCUGUCGCGUCUGCUGUGAAAACUCAGGGCUUAACCCUGAGCUUGCAGUGGGUACGGGCAGACUAGAGUGCGGUAGGGGAGACUGGAAUUCCUGGUGUAGCGGUGAAAUGCGCAGAUAUCAGGGAGGGAAACACCGGUGGCGAAGGC